rnacentral:rRNA from 1 species
GGUGAGUAACGCGUGAGAAUCUAGCUACAGGUCGGGGACAACCACUGGAAACGGUGGCUAAUACCGGAUAAGCCGGAAGGUGAAAGAUUAAUUGCCUGGAGAUGAGCUCGCGUCUGAUUAGCUAGUUGGUAGAGUAAGAGCCUACCAAGGCGACGAUCAGUAGCUGGUCUGAGAGGAUGAUCAGCCACACUGGGACUGAGACACGGCCCAGACUCCUACGGGAGGCAGCAGUGGGGAAUUUUCCGCAAUGGGCGAAAGCCUGACGGAGCAAUACCGCGUGAGGGAGGAAGGCUCUUGGGUUGUAAACCUCUUUUCUCAAGGAAUAAGAUAUGAAGGUACUUGAGGAAUAAGCAUCGGCUAACUCCGUGCCAGCAGCCGCGAUAAUACGGAGGAUGCAAGCGUUAUCCGGAAUGAUUGGGCGUAAAGGGUCCGCAGGUGGCAUUGAAAGUCUGCUGUCAAAGAGCAAGGCUUAACCUUGUAAAGGCAGUGGAAACUACAAAGCUAGAGUGCGUUCGGGGUAGCAGGAAUUCCUGGUGUAGCGGUGAAAUGCGUAGAGAUCAGGAAGAACACCGGUGGCGAAAGCGUGCUACUAGGCCUGCACUGACACUGAGGGACGAAAGCUAGGGGAGCGAAUGGGAUUAGAUACCCCAGUAGUCCUAGCCGUAAACGAUGGAUACUAGGCGUGGCUUGUAUCGACCCGAGCCGUGCCGGAGCUAACGCGUUAAGUAUCCCGCCUGGGGAGUACGCACGCAAGUGUGAAACUCAAAGGAAUUGACGGGGGCCCGCACAAGCGGUGGAGUAUGUGGUUUAAUUCGAUGCAACGCGAAGAACCUUACCAAGGCUUGACAUGUCGUGAAUCUUGAUGAAAGUUGAGAGUGCCUUCGGGAGCACGAACACAGGUGGUGCAUGGCUGUCGUCAGCUCGUGUCGUGAGAUGUUGGGUUAAGUCCCGCAACGAGCGCAACCCUCGUUUUUAGUUGCCAGCAUUAAGUUGGGCACUCUAGAGAGACUGCCGGUGACAAACCGGAGGAAGGUGGGGAUGACGUCAAGUCAGCAUGCCCCUUACGUCUUGGGCUACACACGUACUACAAUGCUACGGACAAAGGGCAGCUACACAGAGAUGUGAUGCAAAUCCAGGAAACCGUAGCUCAGUUCAGAUCGAAGGCUGCAACUCGCCUUCGUGAAGUCGGAAUCGCUAGUAAUUGCAGGUCAGCAUACUGCGGUGAAUUCGUUCCCGGGCCUUGUACACACCGCCCGUCACACCAUGGAAGCUGGUCACGCCCGAAGUCAUUACCUCAACCUUUAGGGGAGGGGGACGCCGAAGGUAGGACUGGUGAUUGGGGUGAAGUCAUAACAAGGUAGCCGUACCGGAAGGUGUGGCUAGAUCACCUCCUUUAUAGGGAGACCUACCCAACUCAGAAAUCAGAAACACGAAAGUGAAGAGAUGUCAGAGAGGGUCUACUCUAGGUCGGUCGCAGAAAUUGUCAGGCUUUCAAACUAGAAUGAGGUUCGUAGGGGCUAUUAGCUCAGGUGGUUAGAGCGCACCCCUGAUAAGGGUGAGGUCCCUGGUUCGAGUCCAGGAUGGCCCACCUGAAAACAGUGAACAGUGAGCAGUAAACAGUGGUCAGUAAAAAAAACUGGUAACUGGUAACUGAAAACUGAAUGAUGGGGGUUUAGCUCAGUUGGUAGAGCGCCUGCUUUGCAAGCAGGAUGUCAGCGGUUCGAGUCCGCUAACCUCCAGAUGGGAAAAAAGUCAGCAACUAACGGCAAAAAGAAAGUUAGACUGCUGGGUAAAAUUCCAGCCAGAACCCUGAAAACUGCAUAGAAACGCGAUUGAAGCAGGCAGACACAAGUAUCCAAU